rnacentral:rRNA from 1 species
UCAGUCGACUCCACGGGGAGGCAGCAGUGGGGAAUAUUGCACAAUGGGGGAAACCCUGAUGCAGCCAUGCCGCGUGUGUGAAGAAGGCCUUCGGGUUGUAAAGCACUUUCAGUAGGGAGGAAGGUAGUGUAGUUAACACCUGCAUUAUUUGACGUUACCUACAGAAGAAGCACCGGCUAACUCCGUGCCAGCAGCCGCGGUAAUACGGAGGGUGCGAGCGUUAAUCGGAAUUACUGGGCGUAAAGCGCAUGCAGGCGGCCUGUUAAGUCAGAUGUGAAAGCCCGGGGCUUAACCUCGGAAUUGCAUUUGAAACUGGCAGGCUAGAGUCUUGUAGAGGGGGGUAGGAAUUUCAGGUGUAGCGGUGAAAUGCGUAGAGAUCUGAAGGAAUACCAGUGGCGAAGGCGGCCCCCUGGACAAAGACUGACGCUCAGAUGCGAAAGCGUGGGGAGCAAACAGGAUUAGAUACCCUGGUAG